ensembl:lncRNA
AAGAGCUAUAGAGCAGACUUGGCUAAAGCUUGGUGAUGCUACUCUGAGUUAGCUGAAGGUCACGGUUGCUAUUUCAAUCAUUUUAGAUUCAAAGGAAAGUAACCGUCUGGCAUUCAGUACAAGUAUUCAAAUUCUUAGAACUGUAACAAGAAGAGGAAUAAAACUAGCAAUAUAUAGUUUUUUUCUCACUGGAUUAGUUGGAUUAGCUGCUAAAGCCAAAGAAAAGUCUCUAUCUUGGAUAUCUCCUCGGUGCCCCAAAAGUGAAGAUGAUAAGUCUCACCAGACCCUCCUGAACUGAGGGAUGUACACGCCAUUGUUCUGCCAUUAGCAGAACAAGAGAGCUUUCUCCACAGAUAUUCAAAGUAAAGUAAACAGCAUCGGCAGUUCAGCAGCCCCGACAGCUAAACAGCUGGAAGCAGGAUGUAUGGAGAAAUCCUCAGAGCCCAGGAAAAAGACAGCUGCUUCAGUACCAUGAAGGCUGGAUGCAACCACUUUGCAAAUUCUGCAAAUGGUGGAGUGGGGUGGAAAAUGAGGGGUAAAAAGGGGCUUUGAGAGAGGAAGGACAUUAGCAGGGAACAAGAACAUCUACUGCUUGGACCCAGGGUAUUUCAGACAUGUAGACUGUAGUAAUAGGCAUGCAUCUGGGGUGGGCAUGGGAGGGCAAAGGAAGCACACCACAGUUGGCUCAUGGAAGGAUCCUUGCAGCACAACAGGCUGUUUGCUGCCUUUGUUGCCAGAGGGUGCAUGGGGUCAGCUUGGUGAUAACCCCUCAGCCCCUCUGGGUGCAACUCUGCUUGAGGAGCAGAUGCCUUGGCUCCUGAAGACAGAUUAGGCACUGGAUUGCUCUCUUUCAAUUAACCAAUUUGUUGCCUUUCAUGUUCAGUCAAUGAGUUACAGUGUAUUAUGUCUUUAGUGGAUACAAACUAAUUAAGGGUGAAUGAGCUAUCUAAAAUUUCUCAUUUGAGUACUGGGAUAGCUUUGCUAUUUUGCAUGCAGGGCCUCAUUCCAAGAGUACUGAACCUUUUUCAGUCAAGAAAUGUCAUGCAAAGCAUCUGCAUACUGUAUAUCAUUCAUCUCUAAUGAAGAGUCCCAGGCCUGUGUUCUCUGUUCAAAGGAGCAACACAUUCAUAACUAUCAACAGAGCAAGAAAGCCCACAAGAUGUUCUCAACAGGAAAACAGGCAACACUCUUGCUUUUAUCAGUGAUUCCAACUCCAGGCACUCCAGUCAAAUGUUGCUUUUAAUAUUGCAAUUCAAAUCUUUGUAUCUGAUGUAAACAUGUAGUUUUGAACAAGCUGCCAAGUAUUCCCACAAGCUCUGGUCUUGCUCACUGCUGACAAUGAGGGACACCUACUGAGGGAAGAAGAAGCAUUUCCAGAUCUUAAUCAUGUACCAGAGGGCGUCUUAUCAAAUAUGAGACUCCACGAGAGAAUAUAAGUCAAUGUAUAUGUUGGGAGACGUGGUAGGGAACGUCUCAUGUCCCUGACUAGCACAACAGCCUGGUGGAAAAUAUGCAAAAGUGCAUGAGAGAACAAUAUUUGUAUGCCUGGUGGAGGUAAUACCACUUCCCUUUUAAAUGUGCUCACCACUGCACAGCUCUCAACUCUGAAGUGGGUCCUGCUGGGAAAACUUUUCUCCUCUUCCUUGGACCUGUUUGUCUGUUGUAUUACUUUGCCCCUCAGGAAGACUUUGUUAACAUCCCAAUGAAGAAUGUUUUAGCAUCUGGUCCAUAGAAUAUAUAAAUCCCAUGAUACAAAAAAUCCUACAGAAUAAAGCUAGCUAACUACCUUGUCUGCACAAUGAGUCCUGCAGCACUUUUUUUUACAGUUACUUCCACAGUCUUUUUCAUAGGAAGAAGUUGCCAAACUAUAUCUUGUCAAGUGCUAAGUACAGUGUAACCAUGAUGUGCAAGGUAAUUGAAUGUGGUUUUAUCAAUAAAAUUAUCAUGUACUUGUUUGUU